rnacentral:rRNA from 1 species
GGAGUCUGGACCGUAUCUCAGUUCCAAUGUGGCCGUUCAACCUCUCAGUCCGGCUACUGAUCGCAGACUUGGUAGGCCGUUACCCUACCAACUAUCUAAUCAGACAUGAGCCCAUCUUAAAGCGGAUUGCUCCUUUUCUGCAUGGGAGAUGCCUCCUUCGCAGCUUAUGCGGUAUUAGCACAAAUUUCUCUGUGUUAUCCCCCUCUUUAAGGCAGGUUGCUCAUGCAUUACUCACCCGUCCGCCACUAAAAUAUACAAAAGCAAGCUUCCGUAUAUCUCCGUUCGACUUGAAUGUGUUAGGCACGCCGCCAGCGUUCAUC